GUCAACUAAGGCAGUUGUUUGAUUAAUUCAAUAGACAUUUGUCUAUUUAACAUGAACGUAUUGAGUUUAGGUUUUUAAAUCAUUAUCAGUUGUUGGUUUAACAUAAAAUAACAAAAAGUUUAAUGAACUAGAUUUGCAUUAUUCAGUUCAAUUAAAUGUAAUUAUUUUAAAUCAACAACUCUAAAACCGAUGCCUAGUGCGCAUGCUCAAACUUCCCAGAAGUGAAGAGGCGGGAACGCGGAGAAAGUUAUAUGUGUUCAGUGAACUGCCGUUUCCCUCUGCGGAUUCUUCCACAAUACAGUAACACCACAAAGAAAGCUGCCCCCUUUUCCUGAUUGUUUGUGCCUCCUCUUUAAUACAUGUGACUUGUAUGUGGCAGUGCAAGCGUCGUUCCAUCAGGGAGAGUAGUAGGUACAAAUUAUUGAAACACUGUAGAUUACAUCACCAUUAUGGACCCAGCCAGCGUUAUCUUUGUAUAUAUGUAAAUUGUCCAUGCACAUUUAAGACUUGGUGUGGACUAAAAACACAUGUUUACAGAUGUCAUUCUUCUCAUUUUAAACAGACAGCUGUCAGUUCAGUCACUUUUAGGUGUGAGUUAUGUGACUGCAGUGACCUUACCACAGAGAGAGAUUAUUUUGGACAUAUUGGAUCACAUUUACGAAAUAGUGAGACAGUAACUUGUGUAUUUUCAGGCUGCUCUUUCAAGACAAAUAUCUUUGAUACAUUUUAUUCACACAAAAAGAGGAAGCAUCAUUCAGAUUCACUUAAAGAUUUCAAGAUUGACAAGGAGUUUCUGCGAAUCACCACAAAGCCUCUGCUAUCCACUUUCUUUGCCGAGCUUGACCAAUACGCGCCACACUUAAUGGAAAUCUUUCUGAGCAAAGGAGGGACACCUGGAAAGAAAAUAAGAGGUCUCAUGCUUGCCAUCUCCAAGCAUGACAACAUCCAUACCAGACGAGCAUGCAUCUUGAAGUCCUUGUGCAUCUACCUAAACGAAGACUAUGAGAAGUUAAUAAAGGAGUACUUGGAUACGGACAGCGAGGCAAAAAGCUGCAUGGAGCAAACUGUGAUGGGGGUGUACGUCAUCCAGAAGGAGGGGUGCUGAACCUGAAGAUGACCCAGAGGACAUUGGUGUCGUGAUUGAGGGUGUGGAGGCUCUCACUGAUUUGGGUAACAUUGCACAAGCAUGUGCUCUGUUGUUUGGACUCAUAUACUGUUUGAACCUGAGCUACCCACCAGAACUUAAAUGCACCUUUGAAGUCCUCCAGAAGAUAAUUUUAAAUCUUGAUGGACAAAAGCUCUCUUCAAAGGCACAGUUUCUGAAAAACAAGCUUAUGGGGUGAGAGCACUUGAAAAUGACUGAUAGGUCUUGAAUGGUUCAUUGGUGCAAUGGUGAUUUCCAAUAUAUAAUGUUAACAUUUGAGUUUAUAUUUUUUUUCUUUCAUUUAAAAAAUAUUUUUUUUUAAAGUUUUUGGAUUCUCUCUGUUGGGCAAUUCACCUUUUAUACAGCACUGCAGAUGAUUUUUGUUUGUCUUUAUAUAGAUGGCUCAAAAUGGAUCAGAAGUACUGUUCUGUUAAUUAUUUUUCAUUUAAUUUCAAGUUUGUAGUAUAGGUACUAAUUCACACAUACCAUAAUGCUGUCAUGUGUUGAAUGAAGAUAUCAUUGGAGUGCUUUAGUGCCCCCUCUUUUUUUCCCCCUUUGUAGAACAAAGUCAACAUUUUACAGAAACUGCAUUGAGGGGUUUUCCCCAAGAAAUGUUCAUUGUUGUUUUUAGCUGCACUGUUACUAUGUUUAUGUGUCAAGGGCCUGUAAAGUUUAAGACCACUGCCACCUGUUAAGUUCACUGUAUUAUUUUAAUGUGUCAAUUUUGCUUGCUAGUAUGUUUUAAAACACAGCAAAACUAUAUUGCUAGCUGUGGAGAACUGCAACCAAAAUUAAAAAAUAAAUACAGAAAUAUAAAAAUUGGUCAAACUAAUAAUUAUUACAAUGAGAUACACCAAACAAAUGUAGUUUUUCAUUUCAAGUAAUUAAUUGUAUUUGAAAAAAAUUGUCAUGUCAUCUAAUUUGAUGUUAAGCCUUCUGUUUCUAUUUUAGUUUUACUUCCUAAAUUUUUUCCAAAUUCACACAAUAGUAAUUCUAUUUUGUCAAAUGUUUUAACUUGCCAAGUGGGAGUGUAUUUUUAUCUUUUAGUUUAAUUUUUUAAAAUACAGUUAAUAUAUUGAGCAAAUUUUGCAUCUGUUUUUAGUUGUGGAAGCUUUGGUUCCAACAUAUUACCUAUAUAAGUAUUCUAACGUUUUACCUUUUGAAGUGGCAUAAUGCUUGCAGGUGUACAAAAUGGUAAGCUUUUAUAUUGUCCACUAAAUGCAGUUAAUAAAGUUAAUGUUAUCAUAAUCUGAUUGUGACUUUUUUGUAAAGUAGUGGGUUUCUAAAUGUGUAACAAAUGAAAACAAAUCUAAUUGAAAUAAUUCGAUUGAAAUGAGUGAAAUCAUCAGCCCCAUAUUGGUUUAUUAAGCAAGACUUGCAGUAAUUGCCUUGAUUAACAAAGUAGUUGUUCAAACAACAAGAUUUAAUUGUGUUUUCCAAAAGUUUUUAACCUGUGUAGAAUGAAUUAAAACACAUUUCACUCUAUAUACUUAAAUAAAUCACUUCAAACCAAUGCAAGUAUACCAUGUUGAUCCAACGUAAUCGGAUUACAUUAAACCACCAAAUGCCAAAUGUGUUGGUUUGACAUGAUCGAAAAUGGUUUAUUGUACUUGGUUGAAUUGUGUGCAAAUUGGGUGCCAUGAUUAAAUUGUGUUCAUCCAACAUCA